GUCCACGCCGUAAACGAUGUAUACUAGAUAUUGGGAGAUUGACCCUUUCAGUGUCGAAGCUAACGCGAUAAGUAUACCGCCUGGGAAGUACGGUCGCAAGACUAAAACUCAAAGGAAUUGACGGGGGCCCGCACAAGCGGUGGAUUAUGUGGUUUAAUUCGAAGCAACGCGCAGAACCUUACCUGGGCUUGAAAUCCCGAGAAGAUCGACCAAAAUUGAUUGUGCUCUUCGGAGAACUCGGUG
rnacentral:rRNA from 1 species